AACAUAUACAUUUGCUUCCGAAGAAUCUCGAUCUGGUAGUUCUUUUCUUCUCUCUUCUUCAUUAUGUCGUACUUGGAUUUAUGCUGAUACCGCUGAAUGUAUGCGUAGCUCACUUUUUUUUUCUUUUUUUUUUCAUGCGUGAUUUACGUCUCUGCAAAUGAUUUGUUAUGCUUGGUGUUUAGGUUCGGUUUGUGAUUAG
rnacentral:lncRNA from 1 species